rnacentral:rRNA from 1 species
GGGUUGUGAGGUUAAGCGACUAAGCGUACACGGUGGAUGCCCUGGCAGUCAGAGGCGAUGAAGGACGUGCUAAUCUGCGAAAAGCGCCGGCGAGGUGAUAUGAACCCUUGACCCGGCGAUGUCCGAAUGGGGAAACCCAGUGCAAUCCGUUGCACUAUCGUUAACUGAAUACAUAGGUUAACGAGGCGAACCGGGGGAACUGAAACAUCUAAGUACCCCGAGGAAAAGAAAUCAACCGAGAUUCCCCCAGUAGCGGCGAGCGAACGGGGAGCAGCCCAGAGUCUGAAUCAGCUUGUGUGUUAGUGGAAGCGUCUGGAAAGUCGCACGGUACAGGGUGAAAGUCCCGUACACGAAAAUGCACAGGCUGUGAACUCGAAGAGUAGGGCGGGACACGUGGUAUCCUGUCUGAAUAUGGGGGGACCAUCCUCCAAGGCUAAAUACUCCUGACUGACCGAUAGUGAACCAGUACCGUGAGGGAAAGGCGAAAAGAACCCCGGCGAGGGGAGUGAAAAAGAACCUGAAACCGUGUACGUACAAGCAGUGGGAGCACCUUCGUGGUGUGACUGCGUACCUUUUGUAUAAUGGGUCAGCGACUUAUAUUCUGUAGCAAGGUUAACCGUAUAGGGGAGCCGAAGGGAAACCGAGUCUUAACUGGGCGUUAAGUUGCAGGGUAUAGACCCGAAACCCGGUGAUCUAGCCAUGGGCAGGUUGAAGGUUGGGUAACACUAACUGGAGGACCGAACCGACUAAUGUUGAAAAAUUAGCGGAUGACCUGUGGCUGGGGGUGAAAGGCCAAUCAAACCGGGAGAUAGCUGGUUCUCCCCGAAAGCUAUUUAGGUAGCGCCUCGUGAACUCAUCUUCGGGGGUAGAGCACUGUUUCGGCUAGGGGGCCAUCCCGGCUUACCAACCCGAUGCAAACUACGAAUACCGAAGAAUGUUAUCACGGGAGACACACGGCGGGUGCUAACGUCCGUCGUGAAGAGGGAAACAACCCAGACCGCCAGCUAAGGUCCCAAAGUCAUGGUUAAGUGGGAAACGAUGUGGGAAGGCCCAGACAGCCAGGAUGUUGGCUUAGAAGCAGCCAUCAUUUAAAGAAAGCGUAAUAGCUCACUGGUCGAGUCGGCCUGCGCGGAAGAUGUAACGGGGCUAAACCAUGCACCGAAGCUGCGGCAGCGACGCUUAUGCGUUGUUGGGUAGGGGAGCGUUCUGUAAGCCGUUGAAGGUGGCCUGUGAGGGUUGCUGGAGGUAUCAGAAGUGCGAAUGCUGACAUAAGUAACGAUAAAGCGGGUGAAAAGCCCGCUCGCCGGAAGACCAAGGGUUCCUGUCCAACGUUAAUCGGGGCAGGGUGAGUCGACCCCUAAGGCGAGGCCGAAAGGCGUAGUCGAUGGGAAACAGGUUAAUAUUCCUGUACUUGGUGUUACUGCGAAGGGGGGACGGAGAAGGCUAUGUUAGCCGGGCGACGGUUGUCCCGGUUUAAGCAUGUAGGCGGAGGUUCCAGGUAAAUCCGGUACCUUUUAACGCUGAGGUGUGAUGACGAGGCACUACGGUGCUGAAGUAACAAAUGCCCUGCUUCCAGGAAAAGCCUCUAAGCAUCAGGUAACACGAAAUCGUACCCCAAACCGACACAGGUGGUCAGGUAGAGAAUACCAAGGCGCUUGAGAGAACUCGGGUGAAGGAACUAGGCAAAAUGGUGCCGUAACUUCGGGAGAAGGCACGCUGAUAUGUAGGUGAAGCCCCUGCGGGUGGAGCUGAAAUCAGUCGAAGAUACCAGCUGGCUGCAACUGUUUAUUAAAAACACAGCACUGUGCAAACACGAAAGUGGACGUAUACGGUGUGACGCCUGCCCGGUGCCGGAAGGUUAAUUGAUGGGGUUAGCGGCAACGCGAAGCUCUUGAUCGAAGCCCCGGUAAACGGCGGCCGUAACUAUAACGGUCCUAAGGUAGCGAAAUUCCUUGUCGGGUAAGUUCCGACCUGCACGAAUGGCGUAAUGAUGGCCAGGCUGUCUCCACCCGAGACUCAGUGAAAUUGAACUCGCUGUGAAGAUGCAGUGUACCCGCGGCAAGACGGAAAGACCCCGUGAACCUUUACUAUAGCUUGACACUGAACACUGGUCCUUGAUGUGUAGGAUAGGUGGGAGGCUUUGAAGCGUGGACGCCAGUCUGCGUGGAGCCGUCCUUGAAAUACCACCCUUUAAUGGCUGGUGUUCUAACGUAGACCCGUAAUCCGGGUUGCGGACAGUGUCUGGUGGGUAGUUUGACUGGGGCGGUCUCCUCCCAAAGAGUAACGGAGGAGCACGAAGGUUAGCUAAUCCUGGUCGGACAUCAGGAGGUUAGUGCAAUGGCAUAAGCUAGCUUGACUGCGAGAGUGACGGCUCGAGCAGGUGCGAAAGCAGGUCAUAGUGAUCCGGUGGUUCUGAAUGGAAGGGCCAUCGCUCAACGGAUAAAAGGUACUCCGGGGAUAACAGGCUGAUACCGCCCAAGAGUUCAUAUCGACGGCGGUGUUUGGCACCUCGAUGUCGGCUCAUCACAUCCUGGGGCUGAAGUAGGUCCCAAGGGUAUGGCUGUUCGCCAUUUAAAGUGGUACGCGAGCUGGGUUUAGAACGUCGUGAGACAGUUCGGUCCCUAUCUGCCGUGGGCGCUGGAGAAUUGAGGGGGGCUGCUCCUAGUACGAGAGGACCGGAGUGGACGCAUCACUGGUGUUCGGGUUGUCAUGCCAAUGGCACUGCCCGGUAGCUAAAUGCGGAAGAGAUAAGUGCUGAAAGCAUCUAAGCACGAAACUUGCCCCGAGAUGAGUUCUCCCUGAGACUUAAAGUCUCCUGAAGGAACGUUGAAGACGACGACGUUGAUAGGUCGGGUGUGUAAGCGCAGCGAUGCGUUGAGCUAACCGAUACUAAUGAACCGUGAGGCUUAACCUUACAACGCCGAAG